rnacentral:rRNA from 1 species
GAUGAACGCUAGCGGCAGGCCUAAUACAUGCAAGUCGAACGGUGUAGCAAUACACAGUGGCGCACGGGUGCGUAACACGUAUGCAACCUACCUUACAUUAGGGGAUAGCCUUUCGAAAGGGAGAUUAAUACCGCAUAAGACAGUAACUAGGCAUCUAGUAGCUGUUAAAGAUUUAUCGAUGUAAGCUGGGCAUGCGUCCAAUUAGUUAGUUGGUGAGGUAACGGCUCACCAAGACGAUGAUUGGUAGGGGAACUGAGAGGUCAAUCCCCCACACUGGGACUGAGAUACGCGCCAGACUCCUACGGGAGGCAGCAGUAGGGAAUAUUGGGCAAUGGGCGCAAGCCUGACCCAGCCAUGCCGCGUGCAGGAAGAAGGCGUUAUGCGUUGUAAACUGCUUUUAUACAGGAAGAAACGACCCUUGCGAGGGGCAUUGACGGUACUGUAUGAAUAAGCACCGGCUAACUCCGUGCCAGCCGCCGCCGUAAAAC